UACGUAGGGGGCAAGCGUUGUCCGGAUUUACUGGGCGUAAAGAGCUCGUAGGCGGUUUGUCGCGUUGUUCGUGAAAUUCCCUGGCUUAACUGGGGGCGUGCGGGCGAUACGGGCAGACUGGAGUACUGCAGGGGAGACUGGAAUUCCUGGUGUAGCGGUGAAAUGCGCAGAUAUCAGGAGGAACACCGACGGCGAAGGCAGCUUACUGGGCCGAUACUGACGCUGAGGAGCGAAAGCGUGGGGAGCGAACAGG
rnacentral:rRNA from 1 species